AUUCGAUUCUGUUUGUACCAAUAAUUAUGAUUUUUGACACGGUCGCAUAAUCGCAUCCGCCAUCCGAAUCAUUCCACAGAGUAAUAUUAUGACAAUUCACUUUGAAUUUUUCGUUUGUACGUUCUUGUUAUUAGUAAAUAUUAAUAUAUUAAUUAUAAAUUAGUUUAUUU